AAAGGGAGGCUUAAUCAUGCAGAGGAAAGAAUGAGUCAACUCGAAGACAAGUCAUCUGAAAUUAGCCAGUUAGAGGAACAA